UUGUGAGUUAGUUAAGGUGUAGAAUUUUAAACCCACACAUACUCAUAUUUUAUUUUGUAUGUGAUGUGUGGCUCGAUAGUUAUAAGAAGAGUUUGUUCCUAAAGUGCUUGAUUGAAGGUUAUAUAGUGCUAUUUCUAUAAUAGCAAUUUUAUAGAUUUUAAUAAUAGGUGUAUUUUAUUGGAUAAGUAUAGUGGACUUUAUGAAUUAGCUUAUAAGGAAAGACAACCUUCCUUUUCUCCCUUCUUCUACCAAGGUGCCGUAUCCCUCUUCUUUUCUUCAACCUCCAUGUUUGUCGAUCCAAGCUCCAAGAAUCACUUCAAAAAAAUCACACCUAUAUUCAUCCAGAAACGUAUAUUAAGGUUUGAGUGGCAGUGUAGAGUGAACAAGCAAAGACUUCUAUUUCAUUAAGCGUAUCAGGUUGAGCUGAUGUGGUGAUGGUGCUACAAUGAGCGGAGUCUCCAGGGUUGUUAAUAAAUAGUUAACAUGUCUAGAAUAUGUCUUCAUACAUAUGUCUAGCUACAUUCCGCUGCAAGAUGUUGUUGAUGUUAUAGUAUGUUAUGUCAUACUUUGAGUCUUAAUAAAAUGGUUUCAUAUGAUGUAUAACUUGAUUAAUGAUAUUAAUUAAGUUUUAUGCUGUCUUUCAUAGACUGUUUUCAAUUGAGUAUUAAUGAAUAAAAAUGACGAGUUUUAUUAA